rnacentral:sRNA from 1 species
AUACACAUGUGUACACACGAACAAGCACACUAACAUGAAAUCCAAACCUAACAUGAUUGUGAAUUUCCUGAAAAACAUUUGGGGCAAAUGUACUCAGAGAAAAAACUACUAUGGGCUGCAGAGUUUCUAGAAUGCUGGCAAGGGAACAAACACACACAGGCAGGGAGGAGCACUGUGCUGCCUUAAAAUAUACCCCUUUGUACACACAUACUACACAGUCUGUCACCAUGGGAGCUGUCAUAAAACACAUUUUUGUCUCCUUUGCCUCAAAUAUGAAAUGGCUAUUUAUAAAUGUGUUCACAGGGUGGACUGUGUUCUUCUUUUAAACAGUACAGAAACUAUGAGACUCUUGAUAAGGAGGUAGAAGAUAGAGACUUCUAAGCGUGACUCUAAUUUAAGCCCCUAGGAAGGACAUCUCAGGACUAAGGAAUGUUGGGAAGGAUCUAGAAGUCUCCGGAUAACAUUAAAAUUGGAAAUAAUUCCAAAGCGGUCAGAUUAAUGCAUGUGCUGUUCCGGGGCUGAAACAUUUAAAAGUCACCCAAGCUCAGAACUUGCACCUGAUAAGAACUGCCUCAUGAGAUGAGACAGAGGGUGGUGGGUAAAGGUAUUAGGCUCCUAUGCCUGAGGCCUGGACUCAGUCACUGAAAAUCACAUACAGUGGAAAGCAGCAGCAUGCAUCUGUAACCCCAGCAUUUCUAUGGUUAGAUGAGGAAGGCAGAAGGUUCUUGUUACUUUGGGUUCCUGUGACAAAACAAUAAUCAAAAAAGAACUUGGGGAAGAAACCAUUUAUUACACCUUAUGGGUUAGAGUCCAAGAACAAUUGACGCUUGAAUUUAAAGUAGCAAUUCAAGACAGAAUCUUGGAGGCAGGAACUGAAGCAGAGAUCAUGGAGGAAUGCUGCUUACUGGCUUGCUCAGCUUGAUCUCUUCUUAUUCAAGCUAGAGCAGCACAAGUCGUGUUAAUCAAAAAGGAAAUGUCUUUCAGAUGUUCAUACAUGCCAAUCUGAUGGAGCUUCUCAUUUUCCAGGUGACUCUAAUUUCUGCUAAUUAACAAAUAAAUUGACCAGAAAAGUGAAACAAGAAAGUUUUUAGGGGGUUUAUUUACUAUCUUGCCUGGAGUAUGCAAAAUGAACCAGCCAACAAAGAGACUCCAAUUCAAUGAAGCUGAAGGCAAGAACAUACUCUUCUUACUUGUCCAUUGACAAACAUAUUCAUGGGCUCACAUGUAAAUGGAUAACUAAAUAAAAUUCAAAAUUAAAGUAAAACAUAAAACACCAAACGAAUUAAUUUUUCAAUCUGUGACUAGGUACCACGUGGGAACUCAUCUGGAUGAUGUUGUUCUAGCAUAACACAAUGUGUUCUGUGUAAUUGCAGAAAACACAAAGUAGACCCAAAUUCACAUAUGAGGUUGGUAUUUUAUAUCCUACAUGUGUUGUGUAUUUAUGAAUUAUUUCACCAUUUGCUGGCAUGUAUCAUCCGUCAUUUUAUCAUCUUCCAUUGGUAUAUCUUUUUAAUCUGUCCAUUCAUCCAUACAUAUCAUACCAUGCCAUACAUACAUACAUGCAUACAUAUAUCCACUAUCCAUUUAUAAGUAUAGCUGUCAAAUAGCCUAAAAACAUUUCAUUUUUAGAAAAGAAUCCCUUGAAUUAUAAAUGGGGCUUGGUAAUUGUGGUACAAAAUUGCUUUCCUCUUUUGGUCAUAUCACAUAAAGAUGUUAUGCAUAUUCCUCUACCUACCCACACCUAUAUACUGAGAUUACCUUCUGUCUUCUGAUACUUCAAAGAUGAAUCCAUCUAGUAAGCUUCCUGAAUGUAUUCUCACAUCUGGUAGCAAAGAGAUGAAAUGUUCAGACUUACUAAUAAAUGAUGUUAGAAUGAAAAAUGGCCCCAUGAUUAAUGCAAAUAAAUAGUUAUUUCAUUUGAAAGCAACUAAAAAGAAGUUCUCCUGACUCAAGAUUUCAAGAAAGAUUUUUUGCGAAGAUAUUUGAGUCAUGUUUGAAAGGCAAACAGGGAAUUAUUUAUUAAGCCACUGCCAUCCUGAUGUAGCAGAUACCAAAAGGUAACUGUAAGCCAUCGAGUUCAAGUAAAGUCCUUUGAAGGUAUAAAGAAUGGUUCUUUUUUCUAAAACUGUGCCAGGAAAGGUUGUAAGUUUUCCAAAAUAACAUCUUUGGCCUUUUACAUCUGUCCUGCAAUACGCACAGCUAGCACUGAAAUACUACUGGAGCCCUUGGACUUCCUUUGAAACAUAAUAUUCAACAAAAUAUUUCUCUACAUACAAUUGUUAUUACUAAAAUACUUAUAAAGUCCAAAAAUAACCUUAUUUACAUGGAAUUAUGUCUGCAUAGGCCAAUGACGCUCCUGUUCCUCAUCUUCUCUUCUGAUCUAAUUUAUGUGUGGCUUGUUCUAGUAUUCUCCUGACUCAUGGACUGUGUGCUAUAAAAUGAACUUUUCUUGAGAAGAUGAUUACUGAGACAUCUCUCUAGGACCUUUUUGGUGCUUUUUAUGACAUAGAAUGGAAGUGAUUAGUGGGUGUCUAGGCAAAGAUAGUAAAAAAGUUGGGCAUGACUAUGGAGCUUAGAUAAUGUAUUUCUGGCCACUAAAUGACAAGUAUUAGUUAUUAAAGGGUAAUUGCUUAUCUUUAAAUUUUAAACCUGUAUCAGUUGAGAACUUUAUCAAUUGAACAUCAACUUUGCAUUAUAUUUUGCCCUAAAAGUCUUCAUAUUCUAUGAAGCAUCCCCAUACUCGAUCAUUUGUGUGAUCUUUUGAUGCUUUUUUUCCCUCUUUUUCAGCUAUUCACUUAUUUUCAAAUUUCCCAAUCUAAUCUAAAUUUCAGUAUUCUCUCUGUAAAUAGAUAUCCUAGAAAUGCAAUGAAGAAGGAAUUUAUUGUAUGAUGAAAGUAACAACUUGAAAGCAUAGGAUGACUGGAAACUUCAUCAAGAAAAGAGUAUUUCAACUUUUGGUUCUAUUAAUGAUCCAUAGAUGGGAAAAUAUGAAGUUAGGAGGCUCCUGAGAAAGCAGGGGAGAGGAGUGGCUAUGACCAAGGAACAUGGUAAAUAUGCAUGGAAUCUUCAUAGAAUAAAUUUAAUUAAAAUGUCAAUGAAGUACACAAUAAAAGAAAUGUCGAAAAAUUCAUAGAUGCUGUAGAAACAAGUGAGUAAUUCUGGUCUUCUCUUUUUCUAUUUGAUGACUGGAAUUAGAAGCAAGUACUAUCUACAUUUUUUUGCAUAUUUGUCCACAUUAGGUUAAUGGGUGUCCUAGUUAGCAUUAAAUGUGUAUUUGACAUGCACUAGAGAAGCAUAGAAACUGAGUAAGUGUCUUGAUCAGGUGGAUAAGUAUGGUUUGAUGAAUUGACUGAUAACUGUUGUAGAACACAGCCCACUGUGGGCAGUUCCAUUCUCAGGGCCCUGUUCCUGGGCUACAGUGAAUCUACCUAAGCAAAACCCAAGACAGAGAGUGAGGCAGCUCAAGGUUGCAGGACCAUGCUAUAUGAGGCAUGCUGUACUUCCUUGACUGAAUAUGAAUUCCCUAGUCAUAGGUAAUGAAUGCUGCACGAUGUACCAAGCAGGCCUGUCUUUAGCUUCUUGCUCUGACUACCCUUAGUGACUGCCUGAGGCUUGAAUGUGUAAGAUGAGGUGGUCUAUGUUAUCCCCAAGUUUCUUGUAAUCAGAGUACUCAUCACAGCUACAAAAAGAAUAGGAAGUGGGUAAGCCCGGGCACAUGAUAGGCAGCUGCCUGUCUCCUGUCUCUGCCUCUGCUCAUCUGAAAACUCUGUGUAUUCAUGGCAUUCAAAACAUAUUUGUGUUCAAGCACAUGUUCCCUCGCAUGUAGUCCAGCAUUUUAAGUAUUUUCAUAAUAAAAUUUCUUAAACUUUAAGAAAUGUUAUUCUCCAAUAAGUAUAGAAAAAGUAGAAAAAGCUAGGGAUAGUUACAAAUGGAUUAACUACACACAGCCAUGUUUUGGGCCUAUCCAUUGAUAUACCUCCUGUCUUAUUGCAGAUUUUUUUGCAGUCCAUCCAAAAAAAAAUUGAUUCUGUUUCUAAAUAUAGGUAAUCCCCUAAGCUCCAGUUGAUUCUGAACAACUAGAUGCGUCAGUGUGGGUGUAUCUAAAUUCCCAUUCGGGCUGAAUGCCCAGCUUUGCUAGCCCUGUACAUUGAAGGGACACUCUGAAGGAUUCUAUUUAUCUAAGCGGUUGGCCUCAUGCUUGGAUUUGCAGGUGUGGCUGUAAAUUUCAGAUGAUAUAUGGAGGAGGAAGCCCAACAAAAUCUGAAACUGUAACAGAACUCAAGACUCACGGCCUCUUUUGGGAGAUGCUUCGGUUUUAUGAUUUGGGCUGUGGAAGAUGGUGGAACCUCACUGGGAUCACAUCUGUCAGGUUUACAGGGUGAAGACAAGCGCUCAGCAGGCUUGCAUGCUACUGUGUGGGAGGAAACAGUUGUCACCGGCUACGAAGGAAGAAGACUCAGCUAUGCAGGGGACUAACACUUCAGUGUUUCUCUUGGAGAACAGAGAUACUCAUAAAUUUGCCCACCUGGUGGAAACAGCAAUUCCUGCUUGUAGCACACACAGCAUGAAGACAUUUCAUUGCAAGCUGACUCUGAGUGACCGCAAGUCAAGACUUAGACUCCAUGUGAAACUGAAAUUAAAGGUGCCCACUAAGCAUUAACCCACAGCAGUCAUUCACACUUUAACCAACUAUUGGUUUCCCAAAUAUCUAAGUCUGCCUCCCUAUGCCCACACCGCUCAGGUAAAAGAUGAUUAUAAAUUGUUUCUGGAUUCCUGGUUCCUUAUAGACAAAACCACGGGGAAGGAUUUUUGUUUUUCUUUCUUUUUUUUUUUUUUUAGUUUGUUCAUUUUGGUUUGGGGUUUUUGGUUUUGAGAUUUUUUUGGGGUGGGUGGCAGGAGACAUAAAGGGGUCCACCUGUAAUAUACAAAGGAGGAAUUUUGAUAUUUUGUUCUUCUUGCUGUGGUGUUUUCAAAUAAGCUAUCUGUCAAUGUUUCAGUCAGGAAGGAGUGACUGUAAAGCCUAGGAAAUGUGUUUUCUCUUUUAAAAACCUAUUAGAAAAAAACAAAUAAGGAUUAGGGAAAAAUGCAUUUUUUUUAAAAAACCCAAAUGUAGGGGAAACAGUAGGAUGCCCUUUUAUGCUAACUAUAUCUAGGAAAGAAUUGAAAGCUUGCUGAGCCAGAAACAUAAAUGGCUCUGAUAAGUCUGCAGUUGAAAACCGUUAUUUACAUUCACUCAGUAUGAAUGGGAGCUUCCAUAUGGCCAAACCUAUAGCUGCUGAGUCUACAAGGAAGGUUAAUAUGUUAGCUGGCUCUGUUAGCACAAAUUAUAUUUGGAUGGUAACCAUUAGCCUUCUCAGAGUUUUCUUUCCUUGAUGAGCCUUCCCAAAUUCUUCUCCCCCUUCACCUACACACAGAUCCCUCCUUCACCAGCUGGUUCAGUGUGACUUGGAAGGGCACAUUUCUUUCCUCUCUACUGCACACAAACCAGGCUUUGCUGAAAGAUUUUCUCUGAAAGUAUUUAACUGCUUGAUAUUUAGACCUGAGAGGGGAAAAAAAACAAGACACAUGCUUGGCUUAAGUUGAAGGCUUUUAUUGCACAGUUAAGCUACUGAUGAUAAACGAUUAUAGUUGGAGCCUUUUUAAAAAUAAAAGUAGAUUUGUUAGUG